rnacentral:rRNA from 1 species
GACGAACGCUGGCGGCGUGCUUAACACAUGCAAGUCGAACGGAAAGGCACUGCUUUUGCGGGGUGCUCGAGUGGCGAACGGGAGAGUAACAUGUGAGUAACCUGCCCUCGACUUAGGGGUAACUUUAGGAAACUGGGGCUAAUACCGGAUAGGAGCUCCGGGUGCAUGGGGGGGGUGGGAGAGUUGCGGCGGUGGGGGAUGGACUCGGGGCGUAUCAGCUUGUCGGGGGGGGAGUGGGUUGCCAAGGCUUUGACGGGGAGCCGGCCUGAGGGGGUGACCGGCCACAUUGGGACUGAGAUGCGGCCCAGACUCCUACGGGAGGCAGCAGUGGGGAAUAUUGCACUAUGGGCGGAAGCCUGAUGCAGCAACGCCGCGUGGGGGAUGACGGCCUUCGGGUUGUAAACCGCUUUCGCCUGUGACGAAGCGUGAGUGACGGUAAUGGGUAAAGAAGCACCGGCUAACUACGUG